rnacentral:lncRNA from 1 species
GGGGUUCCUAUCUUGAUAUCUCUCUUUAACUCACUGUCACUUGGAACACACACCCUAUCCUGGAAUAUGAGCAAUCCAUCGGCGGAGACUCGAAAUUCUGAGCUAACUCCCUGUUUUGCAUCUUUCUUGAGCGCUAUUAGGGCGAAAUUGGCGGACUGAGCUUCCCUUAUUCUUUGGAUUGCCUCAGGCUAAACAGUUAGAUGACCCAAACACGUGACUCUCCUCAAGUCCUGAAGCCGAAC